GGCCAAAUAAAACCAGAGUUAUGAUAAAUUAUGUCCGCGAUACUUGUUUUCUGCUUAUUUUGAUCACGUUCGGCGCUCGAUCGCGCUGUAUGAGACAGGAAAACAUAGCAUGCAGACAUUAGCGACAGGUCUUACAGGCGGAAAAGGCUUGCCAAAGGAAAAAAAAAAACACACCACAACAUCUCUCCUAUUGGUGGAAAACUUCACCACAACAACCAAUCCAAAAUUAUAUGGUGACUGAUUGACAAGGGGCGGGCGCUUACGUUCUUCCUGCAAUAUGAGAAGGGAGGGAGGGACUCUCAGCAGGGAUGCAGUCUGGGACACGUAGUUGCAAACCUAGCGACUUUGUUGUUAGAUUCAAUGACUUUUCAGACCCCCUAACGACUUUUUUUUUAGAAAGAAAGUGACUUUUAUCGACUUCUUCUGGAGUUUAGAGACUCUGACAUGAAGCAGGCUUUCCUUACUGAGGAGUUAGCAACGCUGCUAAGGGUGCAGAGCCACACAUGCGCUCCGAGCUCUGCAUGGGAGACUGAAGCUGACAGAGCUGCAGCAGUUAGCAGGUUUCACCCUCAGAGACCACCAGGGGUUCAUGUUGAGGCAUUUUCAGUUUUUUUUUUUUUUUUGCCAUAGACACUGUCAGCACAAUCUGCAGUUACACUAACAAAAAUGCUGCAAAAAACAAAGAAUUAUGGAAAAAUUACACAUGGACUAACAUAGAGGAGGAUCUACACAAGUUUUUUACAUCAUGUUUUACAUCAUGCAUCAUUUACAUCAUGUUUUUUUGUAGUGGCAUAAAUAAAAAGUGACAUUUGUGAGACUAUACAGUGUUUUGUAAAUAAUUUUACAAAGAACACCUGGGCCAUUGCCUGCAUUUUGAUGUAAAUAGAGGUAAAUUAUUAUGUUCUUUGUUAAAAAUUUGCAUAUGUUUUGAAGUUUACAAUUUUUAUUUGAAGUUUAAGUUUUAAAAACAGUUCAUCACACAUAUUUGUGGUUUAAUUUCACAUUAAUUUCCAUAUUGUAUAAAUGACUGGAAAAAACUUGAGCCCCUGCCCCUGUAUAAUCGUGUGCACGUCCCUGUUCUAGCUCCAAGGUGAAUCUUCACUGCUCAUGUUCUCCUCAGAAAUAGUCACCUCACUCCCCUCAGGUUACUGUACACAUGCACCAACUAUCUGCUUCAGGUUUGAAAUGGAGCUUCAUGGUUGUCUUUUGGAGAAAUGAACAGUCAAGUUGUGUUUGAAAUUUGAUUUUUUUCAGGGGCAAAAGGAAGCCUCUGCAUUCUUGUCAAAUAUGUAAACAGCAUGUUUUUGCAGGUGCUAAAAACCAGACUCUGAGUGUGUGUGUGUGUGUCUGUGUGUGUGUGUGUGUGUGUGUGUGUGUGUGUGUGUAUGUUGGCGUGUGUGUAUAUGUGUGUGUAUCCUGCAGUACUCUAUACUCCUGCAGUGGCCAAAAAGACUUUUAAGAAUGUGGAUUUUUGGGUCAUCUUUGGCGCCCCCUAGAACUGCAGUACUCUGUACUCCUGCAGUGGCCAAAAUGACUUUUAAGAAUGUGGAUUUUUGGGUCAUCUUUGGCGCCCCCUAGAACGUAAACCGUGGGGUGCAGCAUCAUGAUUUUUACAACUUUGAAUGGGCAUGGGGUGUAGAUUGGCCUGAGCAAAUUUGGUAUCGUUGGGACGAAAGCCUUAGGAGGAGAUAGCCACAUUCCAAUGUGUGCGAAUCGGCAAAAAAUGCAAAAUAGCCCUUUAACCGUACAUUAUACAGAUACGCGCUCUUUGACUUUUUCGUAGAUCUAAUUGAGAUACACAUGAUUGUCAAUUUUUGUGUCAAUAUGACAAAGCGUUCAGGCGUGACACUCAACAAUGUGUAUUUUUAUGUAAGGGGACAAGAAAAAAUUGACUUUUUUCUCCUACCAUGGGGGGGCGCUCUUUUGGGGAUUAAAAAUUCCUUCACAAAUGUGUUGAUGGCUGGACAUUGCAUCAUCCUAGAAAACUUGGAGGCCAGUGAGGACAAAAAUAAAAAGUUAUAAAACAUUUAAGAAUGUGGAUUUUUGGGUUAUUUUUGGCGCCCCCUAGAACCUAAACCAUGGGGUGCAGCAUCAUGAUUUGAAUAACUUUUAAUGGCCAUGGGGUGUAGAUUGGCCUGAGCAAAUGUGGUGCCGGUGGAACGAAAGCCUUCGGAGGAGUUAGCGAAAUUCCAAUGUGUGCGUAUCGGCAAAAAAUGCGGAAUAACCCUUUAACUGUACAUUUGACAGAUACGCGCGCAUGGACUUUUUUGUAGAUCUUAUUGAGUUACAUGUGUGUGUCAAUUUUUGUGUCAUUUUGACAAAGCGUAUAGGCGUGACACUCAACAAUGUGUAUUUUCACCUUAGGGGACAAGAAAAAAUGGACUUUUUUCUCCUGCCAUGGGGGGGCGCUCUUUUGGGGAGUAAAAAUUCCUUCACAAAUGUGUUGAUGGCUGGACAUUGCAUCAUCCUAGAAAACUUGGAGGCCAGUGAGGACAAAAAUAAAAAGUUAUAAGACUUUUAAAUAUGUGGAUUUUAGUGUUAUCUUUGGCGCCCCCUAGAACCUAAACCUUGGGGUGCAGCGUCAUGAUUUUGAUAACUUUUAAUGGCCACGGGGUGUAGAUUGGCCUGAGCAAAUGUGGUGCCGGUGGAACGAAAGCCUUCGGAGGAGUUAGCGAAAUUCCAAUGUGUGCGUAUCGGCAAAAAAUGCGAAAUAACCCUUUAACCGUAAUUUUGACAGAUACGGCCGCGCUGACUUUUUUGUAGAUCUUAUUGAGAUACAUAUGUGUGUCAAUUUUUGUGUCAAUAUGACAAAGCGUACAGGCGUGACAGUCAAUAGUGUGAAUUUCCACCUUAGGGGGCGCUAUGGAGCCAUUUUGCAUUUUAUUGUUUGGGCGACUUCAGAAUAUCGAAUUUUUCACCAGGCCCGGUCGUCCUGCCAAAUUUCAUGAGUUUUCGCCAGUGGGAAGUGGGCCAUUUUCCAGUUCAAAGGGGAGGAAAAAGAAGAAAGAAAGAAAGAAAGAAAGAAAGAAACAAAGAAAAACCACUUGGGGAAUAAUAGGGCCUACGCCCGGCUGCUCUGCAGCUGGCUCGGGCCCUAACUAGGGCCCCGGUGGGGCACUGUCGGGCCCGAGCCGCGUUGCGCCGCCCCCAGCGCGACCGCCUCCCCCUCCCGAUCGCGUCACACUCAAGGUCCAAAGAUGGUGUGCGCACUUGUCUGUGGUCAUUUCCCAUUAUAAUGAAUGGGAGGCGCAGUUUCUACCAAAACACUCGCUGCAGACAAACUACAUGUCCUAUUUGAAAAAAGUCUGAUCCAUGAGUGAGGGCACAAACACAGCUAGGAUAUAUCCAAAUGGCAAGUUGCUCCUCCUUUCGGAGGAGUUUGAACACAUGACAUGUGUUUGAGCCAUUGAGCGAUGGGCAGGAAAAACUUGACUUUUUCUCCUGCCAUGGGGGGGGGGGCGCUGUUUUGGGGAGUAAAAAUUCCUUCACAAAUGUGUUGAUGGCUAGACAUUGCAUCAUCCUAGAAAACUUGGAAGCCAGUGAGGACAAAAAUGAAAAGUUAUAAGACUUUUAAGAAUGUGGAUUUUUGGGUUAUCUUUGGCGCCCCCUAGAACGUAAACCGUGGGGUGCAGCGUCAUGAUUUGUACAACUUUUAAUGGCCAUCGGGUGUAGAUUGGCCUGAGCAAAUGUGGUGCCGGUGGAACGAAAGCUUUAGGAGGAGUUAGCCACAUUCCAAUGUGUGCGAAUCGAUCAAAAAUGCGUAAUAGCCCUUUAACCGUACAUUUUACAGAUACGUGCGCAUUGACUUUUUCGUAGAUCUUAUUGAGAUACACGUGAUUGUCAAAUUUUGUUUCAAUAUGACAAAGCGUACAGGCGUGACACUCAACAAUGUGUAUUUUCACCUUAUGGGACAAGAAAAAAUGGACUUUUUUCUCCUGCCAUGGGGGGGCGCUCUUUUGGGAAGUAAAAAUUCCUUCACAAAUGUGUUGAUGGCUGGACAUUGCAUCAUCCUAGAAAACUUGGAGGCCAGUGAGGACAAAAAUAAAAAGUUAUAAGACUUUUAAGACUGUGGAUUUUUGGGUUAUCUUUGGCGCCCCCUAGAACGUAAACCGUGGGGUGCAGCGUCAUGAUUUGUACAACUUUUAAUGGCCAUGGGGUGUAGAUUGGCCUGAGCAAAUUUGGUGCCAGUGGAACGAAAGCCUUCGGAGGAGUUAGCGAAAUUCCAAUGUGUGCGGUUCCGCAAAAAAUGCGAAAUAGCCCUUUAACUGUACAUUUGACAGAUACGUGCGCAUAGACUUUUUUGUAGAUCUUAUUGAGAUACACGUGUGUGUCAAAUUUUAUGUCAAUAUGACAAAGCGUAUAGGCGUGACACUCAACAAUAUGUAUUUUCACCUUAGGGGACAAGAAAAAAUGGACUUUUUUCUCCUGCCAUGGUGGGGCGCUCUUUUGGGGAGAAAAAAUUCCUUCACAAAUGUGUUGAUGGCUGGUCAUUGCAUCAUCCUAGAAAACUUGGAGGCCAGUGAGGACAAAAAUAAAAAGUUAUUAGACUUUUAAGAAUGUGGAUUUUUGGGUUAUCUUUGGCGCCCCCUAGAACGUAAACCGUGAGGUGCAGCGUCAUGAUUUGUACAACUUUUAAUGGCCAUGGGUUGUAGAUUGGCCUGAGCAAAUGUGGUGCCGGUGGAACGAAAGCCUUCGGAGGAGUUAGCGAAAUUCCACUGUGUGCGGAUCGGCAAAAAAUGCGAAAUAGCCCUUUAACCGUACAUUUGACAGAUACGCCCGCGCUGACUUUUUUGUAGAUCUUAUUGAGAUACACGUGUGUGUCAAAUUUUGUGUCAUUUUGACAAAGCGUACAGGUGUGACACUCAAUCAUGUGAAUUUUUCACCUUAGGGGGCGCUAUGGAGCCAUUUUGCAUUUGAUUGUUUGGGCGACUUCAGAAUAUCGAAUUUUUCACCAGGCCCGGUCGUCCUGCCAAAUUUCAUGAGUUUUCACCAGUGGGAAGUGGGCCAUUUUCCAGUUCGAAGGGGCAGAAAAAUAAUAACUAGGACCCCGUUGGGGCACUGGCGGGCCCGAGCUGUGUCGCGCCCCCCCCCCAACGCGCUGCCUCCCCGUCCCAUUUGUGUCCUCUGGCCAUCGCCCUCUCUGGUAACGCCCAUCACUGCAAAGACCCUUUUCCUUCAUCGGCGUUUGCUGUUCUUCCUGCCAGUGCGUGUUGCUUUCACUUACACUUGCCACAGCCAGCCUCGUGAGUGCCUAGCCUAUUGGAUAUCACUGUCACCUACACAGGACAGUCAUUACCUUUCUAUUAAUACUUUGUUUUUUAAUUUCACAUUAAUUUCCAUAUUGUAUAAACAACUGGAAAAAACUUGAGCCCCUGCCCCUGUAUAAUCAUGUGCACGUCUCUGUUCUAGCUCUAAGGUGAAUCUUCACUGCUCAUGUUCUCCUCAGAAGCAGUCACCUCACUCCCCUCAGGUUACUGUACACAUGCACCAACUGCCUGCUUCAGGUUUGGAUGGAGCUUCAUGGUUGUCUUUUGGAGAAAUGACCAGUCAAGUUGUGUUUGAAAUUUGAUUUUUUUCAGGGGCAAAAGGAGCCUCUGCAUUCUUGUCAAAUAUGUAAAUAGCAUGUUUUUGCAGGUGCUAAAAACCAGACUCUGAGUGUGUGUGUGUGCGUGUGUGUGUGUGUCUGUCUGUGUGUGUGUGUGUGUGUGUGUGUGUGUGUGUGUGUGUGUGUGUGUGUGUGUGAGUUCAAGACACAAGACAUAUUUAACCGGAUGUAGCUGCAAGACGGAGCCUCGUUGACUCUCCGUUUCAAUUUAUCUCAAAAGUGAGGACCUCAACCUAUAUACCAGUUUUUAAAUUGUGUUGAUAGGCCAAAUAAAACCAGAGUUAUGAUAAAUUAUGUCCACGAUACUUGUUUUCUGCUUAUUUUGAUCACGUUCGGCGCUCGAUCGCGCUGUAUGAGACAGGAAAACAUAGCAUGCAGACAUUAGCGACAGGUCUUACAGGCGGAAAAGGCUUGCCAAAGGAAAAAAAAAACACACCACAACAUCUCUCCUAUUGGUGGAAAACUUCACCACAACAACCAAUCCAAAAUUAUAUGGUGACUGAUUGACAAGGGGCGGGAACUUACGUUCUUCCUGCAAUAUGAGAAGGGAGGGAGGGACUCUCAGCAGGGAUGCAGUCUGGGACACGUAGUUGCAAACCUAGCGA